AGAACACAGACGGUGCUGACAACUCAUGUUCCAGAUGGACUCAGCUGGCAAGUGUUUGAGACGUUUCUCAGCAUCCUGUGAUGUGUUCCUGGGCCUCUGGGCCCUGUGCGCGGCGGAAGGAAUGAAAAGGGCAGAGCAACCACUGCGCUGUUGGCCCCAGUGCCCUUCUGCUUCGCAGUCCUGGAUUCUCAUGAAGCUUAACCACAAAAGAGAUCGAAAACACCCUGGUUGGAAUGGAGCAUUCAGGGCUCCUCCCACAGUUCUCACUUAGCAUUAGUGAUACAGUGGUUGUGUGGGUCACAGCAGAUGUAAUUUGCAGAAGGAUAACUGGAGGGUUUAGAGUUUCAGUAUGUAAACUGAACCCUAAGGAACAUGAGGCAAUGGGCAGGGUUUUCUCUCGCCGAGGAAGUCUCUUGGUCCAGAGUAAACUUUAAGCAAUUGUGUUUUGUUGACUCUAAGUUUCAAGACUAAUCAAGUAUCUACUGUAGUUUGGAAGGCUCCCUGCUGAACUCUAUUUUUAUCUGUUAAUUUCGUGUUUCCGUCUUCCUUGGCAGUGGGCACCAUUUAGGUGAUAGUAGGUUAGAUAGUCGCCUCAGUGAGGCAGGAGGAGAGUAGGAUUCUGUUAAGUAGAUAAUAGAGAGGUUUAGAAUUGUUGAGUGAUGAGAUUAGAGCUCCAGGUGGGCAGGUCUUCGGGGUAAAAGCAGGAGGGCAGGGUUGGAGCUAUACCAACAGGCAGAGCACUUAGUACGUACCAGACAUUGUGGGGAACCUUUCAAGUACUAACUCAUUUCAUGCUCAUAAGAAUCCAUGAGGAGGGCACAUCACAGAUGAAGAGACUGAGGUUCAGAGUAGUCAAGUUAAUUGCCCGAAGACACACAGCUAGACUUCUUGGGGGCAGAGCAAUCACUCUGACUCCAGGACCUUGCACUCUUAGUCUGUCUCUUUAAAAGCUCCACGAUUGCUCUGGAGUUUGUAUUCCCUGCUCCUGAAAGAGUGCUUAGCAAAUAGGAGGUGCCCCCAACAUAUUAGUCAGCUGAAUGUGUACAUUCUCCAUGCUGCCUUGGCCUGGGUCAAGGUCAGUGUGCUCCACCAGUCAGGGAGACCUGGAAGCUGCAUUUAGAUGGCCUUUCAAACUUCUCCAAACUUUCUGUUCAAACUUAGAACUUCCUGGAUAAU